UACGCAGGGGGCAAGCGUUGUUCGGAUUUACUGGGCGUAAAGGGCGCGUAGGCGGCGCGUAAAGUCGGACAUGAAAUCAUUAGGCUCAACCUAAUGGCUGUGUCCGAUACUUACGUGUUUGGAGUGCGGGGGAGGCAGCCGGAAUUCUCGGUGUAGUGGUGAAAUGCGUGGAUAUCGAGGGGAACACCGGAGACGAAGGUGGGUUGCUGGACCGACACUGACGCUGAGGCGCGAAAGCUAGGGGAGCAAACGGG
rnacentral:rRNA from 1 species